rnacentral:lncRNA from 1 species
ACUCAUCUUAAAAGCUCGUUUCUUGUAAGGAUGUUGAGCUGCGGACUUAUUCUUUUCCAGAGAAUUGGUUUCAGAAUUAGGUUGAGUAUCUUUGAAUGAAAAGAUUGUAUCCUUGUUUGCUAUAGCAGUUGACUCGCUCGAAUGUCCAUUUUGUUUAAUUUCACUUUGCUUUGAUUCUCUGGGAUUGGGAGAGAGAAUUUUAGACCAAUUCUCCAACUUAUAGCUAUCCUGUGCGCUCUGCAGCAGUUUGGGUGAAUCCAAAUCCUCCAAACUUCUAAGAGCUCGUCCAUGAAGCAUGUUCUGUGUCAAUUUAUUCUCUUUCCCUGCAGCUAGUUUGGAUUCUGAUGAUUUUCCCUUUGGAGUUAUCUUUUCAAGUUGCUCCAAUAUCUUGGCAGCAGUCUCACUGGACUUAGGAGGGAUGGCUACAUGCCUUGCAGGCGUGAUUUUGGCAUUUUCGACAUCUCCAACAACUUUUGAUACCUCUGGAUGCAGGUUAACUGCAGAAGCAACCCUUGCGCUGGCACGUGAAGUUCCAAAAGAUAGGGCAUUAGGUUUCUGCCUAAUCCUACGCAUGGGACCAACAGAUCCAAGAUCAUCAUCCAGGACAUAACUCCUUCGUUUGAGGGCCUGAAAGAGUUAAAAAUUAAAUAAACAAUUAAGGAACAGAAAGAAGUGAAAAGGAUAAGCUCAUUUGAUAAUAACACAGGCUCACAAUGCAAAUGAGUUCAGAAUAAUAACAUAGUAAUCUGUAAUAAACACCUGCUUAGAACCAAAAAGUACAUCGUGCUCGGACACUGGCUUAGAUGAUGAAGAC